GCCACACUGACAAUCACCCUGCUGAGAGAGGCAGGCCUGAGAGGCCGCGAGCUAGGACGCUUGCACCAUACACGGUACACGGGGUCUACGGGACAGGGGCCGCGCACGUGGAGCAGCAGCAUGAAAGUACACAAAACACAAGCCACGAACGUGCCUGAGGUCGCAGGGAAGAGGGGAGAAGGGCAGAGAAAGAACCAGGCUCAGGAGCAGAGGCUGGAGGUCAGAAGCGGGCUUGGCUCUAAGCACCCCAAAGGCAAGCAAAGCCAAGGUCACAUCUGGCACAGCAUUCCCGAGCCCCAAAAAGCUCCUUAGCCAACCGUCCGGGAGAAAUGAGACUUGACUGACACAAGACGAAGGCAAAAUUUCUCACACAGAUCCUCUCACGUGUCAGGCUCCUACGUGUAAGUGAACAGCAUCCCAAAAGGAGGCUCAGGGACAGACUCCGUGUGUCUGUCCCCUCUCCCUCACUGGGAGCCACCGGCGGGAUUCUGAAGCAUGACUCACAGCCAGAAGUUACACAAACUUCAUCCUGUUUAUUUUGGCUCAUGCUUCCCGCCUCCAGAGGUCUCUCUGACCCUGGUGUGCGUUCAAGGAUUUGCUAAGCCCGUGAGCACGCGCUGUCUGCGUGUGUGAUAGGCGCCCACUCCCUCCUUCAGCCGAGUUACUGAAGUUAAAAACGGGAAAAUCGCGGGUCAGCAAAGAAACACCGGUGCCGGGUGAGGAAAACCAAGGAGCCUGGGUCCAAGGCCUGGCCACCCGGCCACGGGUACGGCCCCACGUGGGGACCCAGCAUCUCUGCCCGAGGGACAGCUAGGACCGGCACCCGCACCCGACAGGCAGGACCGGCUGCGGCCAGCUGCCACGCGGGGUCCCGGACCCUCCACCUACAUAGGGCUCACGGACACAGGACAGGGCAGGCUGUGCUGACGCAGGCGCAUCCUUCCGGAACGCCAGCGUGGCUGGACGCGUUUGCCCACGACAGCCUGGGACACAGCUCUCAGCCGUGUCAGUGGUGACAACCACGUUGCUUUCAAGACAGGAGCCAUCACAGGAGACCUGUGAGCCGUGGCUGAUGGGCUCUGCUCCUCCACGGCCUGCAUGAGGUGGCCCACGGCCAGCCACGCCCAGAGGAGCGCGCUCACGGGCUCAGCCACCCUCGGGAGGGGCCAGCUCGCUGGCUCUGCCCUUUCUUCCCACCUUACCGUGGACUGACGGUUCCGUGAAACAGUAAAAGACGGUCUUGCACGUUGUUACUAUGACAUUGUGUUAACACUGCUGCUGACCUGCGACACGGCGGCCUGCGACACGGCGGCCUGCGACACGGCGGCCUGCGGGCUGGCACCCGUCACAGCGGCACCCAGGGCACCAUGUCCUCAGGUGACGCCCCAGGCCACUUCUCGGCCCAGGAGCCUGCAGGUACAACAUGAAAGGACCGUGCCCGCACCCCUGCCAGGUGGGCAGUCCCAGAGAGAUGGGGACGGGCAGACAGCGAGCUCCUUGCUCACAUGACCUGGCUCACCUCUCCCACGAGCCCACAGGAGAAAUUGGUGAUUUGACAAGAAGCCAACGCCAGGCGGCUCUGUGGCCCCGAGGGCUCUGUUUCCCACGGAGCCGCCUGUGAGCUCGGCGGCCACACAUCCAGGAUCGCACAUUCCCAAAAGAAGGCCGUUCAGACGGCGGAGGCAUAUGGGCGCUGGGGUGCAAUUUGUCAAACGUUCUGUUCUUUGCCGUCUCUGCCUCCUGAUAUGGCACCAAGCAGCCAGGACCGCCUCUCCUGGCUCACAGGUGCAGGGUGGGCAGGGGCUCUACCCAGCAGGCGGGACAGAGGGACAGACAGCAGGCAGGACAGAGGGGCAGUCGGGACUCUACCCAGCAGGCGGGACAGAGAGGCAGACAGCAGGGAGGACAGAGGGGCAGCCACAGGAAGAACUCGCAAGGGCCCUGCCCGGGGUGGGCGGCCUCCAGACUGAGGAACCUUCCUUUUUGCAGGGCUGGGUCCCACUACGGGGAGGUGGAGAACCGGGGUCUCACAAGGCCGCAUCCCCUUCCUCGGGGGCCUCGACGUGUCAGCGUCCCGCGGAGCCCAGUGUCGAGGAGGGGCGGCCGGGGCAGGGCCAGAAGGCUGCCCCAACCCCUCGGGACCUCCCGGAGGCAGGACGCCCACCCAGGCCAACUCUUGGGUGACCUUGCGGCCCAUUCCUUAGAAGUCUGGUUGGCAAAAAUACGUAAUAACGUAUAUGAUAACAGAGAGGAAAGCAAAAUAUGUUUUUCUCCAACGUACAACUCAAAACAAAAACUGAGUAGUUCAAAGCACAAAACAGAAAACUUUAAAUGAAAACCGACUUUCUGAAAAUAAAUCAGGGUACUGACCCAUUCCAAAGACAGACAUACAUACUUUCCAAGCUGGUUUUAGGUGUCAGGAGGUUAUUUUAUUAGUAACAUAGACAGGCAGUGAUGACGCUUAAAUAUUAGAUUUCUCUGGGAUUUAGUGGCAUUAUUUCCUUUGCAGAGAAGGUGGCCCUAUGGCUUGGAUUUGUACCGUGAGAUAUUUAAAUAAUCAUGACGUUGUAAGCCUCAUUUGCCGGGUCUAAGUCUUUACAGGCAAACCGCAGGGAAGGCAGGGAGACACCUACUGUCCAGGAUCAGGUCAGAAUGUUCCAUGAACCCCCCUAAACAGCACAACAUGAGACCCGGAGGGAGGGACAGUGGGGGGAAGGAAGGGGUCCAGGGCCAGCCCCUCCUUCCCGUCACAGGUCCUCAGGCACAAGCCAGGGCGGUGACCCCAGCUGCACCCAGAGCCGCUGCCCCCAGGAAAACAGGCAGAUAGGUCGGAAGGAAGGAGUGUUGGCAGGAAAGAUCUUCUCUUUUCCUUUCAGGUGCACAGACACCUGCGGGAAGGGGCACAGGACAGAGCCAUGUUCUGGGCACCGAUGGCCCAUGCUGCCGCUUCCGGUCUCCCGGUCAUGUCCUCAGACUGAGACCCCGCGUUCGUGUUCGGCUCAGGAAGGCAGGCGUUGGCUCAGCCUGCCCAGGGGAAAGUGGACACCCGUGUGCUGACCUGUGUGGGUGGCCAGCGAGAGCAAAGGAUCCAUCACCCUGAAACUGUCAUCCAUUCUCGACAAGCCCUGGGGAUUCUGGACUGGGCUUUGCCAAUAGCCCGCAGACAGCGUCCGCGACUUCCCGGCCCCAGACGUCUGCGGCAAGGAUGCCAAGAACCUUCGCACACAUGCUUCACAGCCUCGUGCUGCCCCAGCUCCUCAGGUACUGUGACCUACGCAUCCCCUCUGCUGGCCCUCCAGUGAACCCUGUGCCAGGACCCCCGGGAAGGCCCUGUAGGAACCCCCACCUGGGCCCACAGCCCCCCACGCAGAGCGGGGAGACCCUGCCCGGGUCACCGCAGCACGCGGCCACAGACGGUAUGGGGGCCCCAGGCAUGCCUGCUGGAGAUCCCCAGUUCCUGGCACAGGGUUCAGAGCCCCGCAACUGUGGCGUCAGGCAACGCUCUCAUUCACAUUUUUCUCAACCACUUAAAAGUGUAAAACACUGAGCUCGCGGGCCAGACAGAAGCAGGCAGGGGCUCCUUCCAGCCCUGGGCCCUGGGCCCAGGGUCCACACCCGGUGCGGCGAGGGGAGCCUGGUGCAGCCCCGGCACCCUUUGUUUCCGGCUCUGCCCUAGGUAACUCCUCCCCAGGCUUUGUGGCCGGACUGCUGUUUCGCAGGCCACACGCAGAGGCAGCCGAUCCGGCAAAGCCUUCCCUCUGCCCUACAAAUGAACGAAACAAAUGUACGAGUUCACACACUGGUUCCUCUGGGAAAAAUCCCAAACUUCUUCCACGGGUGUUUAAAAAAUGAAAUCAGUGUUUUCCCUACUUUCCAGACCAAAAAAAACCCAGAAUUGUGCACCACGGACUUCUCCCAAGGCCGUUUUGUUCUGACCCAGAAAGCCCAGCACGCGGGGGUUAAACCGAGGACGGUUGCGUAAUGACAGGGGCAGAGGACCCACACUCACCUCUUGAGCAAACCAGGAGGCGCGCCCCGGGCGGGCGGGCGGUCCGCCCCGCGUGGGCGGGCGGGAGGUCCGCGCUGUCCAACUAACCCCGGGCGUCCCUGCAAACACAGCGGGCGGACGUCGUCCUCGUUAGGGGCCGCUAAGGAAACCGCAACUGAACGGGGCCUGUUCCCAGCAGGAUGAUGCCAACUCGAUCUCGGGCCCUGGGAAGUGGGAGCCACGCGGCUUCUACUGAAAACUCCCAUGCGUGGCCUUCCUGCUGUGAAAACAGGACGCAGUGGUGCGGAUAAGCGAGGCUCCUCCAAGGGGAAGAGCGCCUGAGUACAUGGCGGGGCGUCCUCUGCGACGUCACAGACCCCGGGGAGCCAAGCAGGCUGAGGGGGAAAACAGGAGCAGACGACACACCCGACAGGGCGCUGGCACACCUCUGACCUGGGGGUCCCCACAGCAGCCUUGGGUGGUGCUCACAGGGCCCAUCCCCUGCCUCUCGGGACUCAUCCAUGGGAAACAAAAGUAACCAGUGCAUGCGUGCGCGCACUAUACAUAUGUGCACACAUAUACACACUCAUGUGUGCAUAAUAUACACACGUGCACACGCAUACACCUGUAUACACAUGUGCACAUAUAUACACGUAUUCGCGCGUGCGCACAUGCAUACACAUGUACGCAUAUACACGUAUACACACGUGCACACACGCUGUCUCCAGGCCACUGCUCUGAGUAGAUGUCAGUGUUAUGGUGUGACAGCCAGGAGGUGGACUGCGGCCCAGGAAGCACCAGACACACCUGAGUUACCAUCCCUUCUCUGUAUUUUGCUGCUGUGCCAUCCUGGACAAAUGUCUUCACCUCCCUGAUCCUCAGUCCACAAGUCUGCAGAAUGAAGCAAUAACAUUACCGGCUGGUCCUGGGAGGACACGAAAUGAGGUAAGCAGAGCAGGAAUCCAGCUGGGAAGAGAGGAUCAGAGCCGGGGCCCAGGCCACCUUCUGGAAUGGGGGUUGCGUGGGGUCACCCCGCAAAAGAGAGCCUACCUCCAUCCCGCCUGGAACGGCACUUCUCCAGUUUACAGUCAGUGGAGAGGUUCAAAGAGGUGAGCCGACUGGCUUAAAAUCACACAGCCCCGCAGGGGCCUGGGCCCCCGCACGCCGUCCCCACGUCCGAGACCCUGGUCCUCCCUGGGCACACUCCGGAGAGCCCUGUGACCAGGAGCGAUGGGAACAGUCUCAGACGGCCCUCACUCACCCUCUCCCGACCUUAACUUGGGGAGGGCGCACUCUUCCAGGGACAGACUGAUGUCCCUUUAACAUAAAUGCUAAAACCGGUCCGAGUCACGUCCAGAAACAUGGCCAGGUGGGCAGGCCUUCACACGUCCCGACAGCUGAGGCGCGGACGGGACAGAAAAGGGUGCACGCCGGCCGGGAAUUCUCACCCUCCACCCAACGGCGCUUAAUCCCCAGCGGCCACGGAAAGUCUGACGGGCGCAGAUUCCACAGCAGCCGCCGCUGUUCAAGGCCCCUUUGUUCUCCUCUCGGGCGCCUGUGGACCUGGGCAAACGCUUUCGGCCCCAGGCGAUCGCAUGCAGGGGCCUCAGCAGCUUUUCCCGACUGGUGACCGGUAACUCUUACGGCAACAAUGGAGCCCGUGCGUGAGCACACACACACGCUCACAAACACACACACAUGCUCACACCAGGGACAAUGGAGCCCGCGCGCGCACACACACACACACACACACACCAGGGACAAUGGAGCCCCCCCCACACACAUAUACCAGAGACACUGGAGCCCACACACACACACACACACACACACCAGGGACAAUGAAGCCCAUGUGUGCACACACACACAUACACACAGACUGGGGAAGGGGAAACGUUGGCAGGAUAUCAGAUGAUGUUAAGAAAUCAUUGCUAAUUUUUAGAUGCAUUAUUGUGGUUAUUUUUGAAGGUGCCUUUAUAUAUGGAUGAAAUGAAAAUAAAACUAUGAAAUGAAAAACAA